rnacentral:rRNA from 1 species
AGCGAACGCUGGCGGCAGGCCUAAUACAUGCAAGUCGAACGAACCUUUCGGGGAUAGUGGCGGACGGGUGAGUAACACGUGGGAACGUGCCUUUAGGCUCCGAAUAACUCAGGGAAACUUGCGCUAAUACCGAAUGUGCCCUUCGGGGGAAAGAUUUAUCGCCCCUAGAGCGGCCCGCGUCUGAUUAGCUAGUUGGUUGAGGUAACGGCACACCCAGGCGACGACCAGUAGCCGGACUGGGAGGAUGAUCAGCCACAUUUGGACUGAGGCACGGCCCAAACUCCUACAGGAGGAAGCAGUGAAGAAUCUUGCGCAAUGCGCGAAAGACUGACACAGCCAUGCCGCGUGAAUGAUGCGAGGCUGAGGAUGGUGAAUUUCUUUCACCGGGGAAGAUAGUGACGGUACCCGAAGAAGAAGCCCCGGCUAACUACGUG